rnacentral:rRNA from 1 species
CCCUUAGAGUUUGAUCCUGGCUCAGGAUGAACGCUGGCGGCGUGCCUAAUACAUGCAAGUCGAACGAAUCUCUUUUAGAGAUGAGUGGCGAACGGGUGAGUAAUACAUAGGUAACCUGCCCCUGUGCGGGGGAUAACAGGAGGAAACUCCUGCUAAUACCGCAUAGCCAUGAGCACCGCAUGGAGCUCAUGCCAAAUAUCCUUUAUGGGAUAGCGCAGGGAUGGACCUAUGGCGCAUUAGCUGGUUGGCGGGGCAACGGCCCACCAAAGCAACGAUGCGUAGCCGGCCUGAGAGGGCGGACGGCCACAUUGGGACUGAGACACGGCCCAGACUCCUACGGGAGGCAGCAGUAGGGAAUUUUCGGCAAUGGGGGAAACCCUGACCGAGCAACGCCGCGUGAGCGAAGAAGGCCUUCGGGUCGUAAAGCUCUGUUGUAAAGGAAGAACGGCGCAUACAGGAAAUGGUAUGCGAGUGACGGUACUUUACCAGAAAGCCACGGCUAACUACGUGCCAGCAGCCGCGGUAAUACGUAGGUGGCGAGCGUUAUCCGGAAUCAUUGGGCGUAAAGAGGGAGCAGGCGGCCGCAAGGGUCUGUGGUGAAAGACCGAAGCUAAACUUCGGUAAGCCAUGGAAACCGGGCGGCUAGAGUGCGGAAGAGGAUCGUGGAAUUCCAUGUGUAGCGGUGAAAUGCGUAGAUAUAUGGAGGAACACCAGUGGCGAAGGCGACGGUCUGGGCCGCAACUGACGCUCAUUCCCGAAAGCGUGGGGAGCAAAUAGGAUUAGAUACCCUAGUAGUCCACGCCGUAAACGAUGGUCACUAAGUGUCGGGGGUCAAACCCCGGUGCUGCAGUCAACGCAAUAAGUGACCCGCCUGAGUAGUACGUUCGCAAGAAUGAAACU